UAAUUGAAGAGUUUGAUCAUGGCUCAGAUUGAACGCUGGCGGCAGGCCUAACACAUGCAAGUCGAACGGUAACAGGGAGCAGCUUGCUGCUCUGCUGACGAGUGGCGGACGGGUGAGUAAUGUCUGGGAAACUGCCUGAUGGAGGGGGAUAACUACUGGAAACGGUAGCUAAUACCGCAUAACGUCUACGGACCAAAGUGGGGGACCUUCGGGCCUCAUGCCAUCAGAUGUGCCCAGAUGGGAUUAGCUAGUAGGUGGGGUAACGGCUCACCUAGGCGACGAUCCCUAGCUGGUCUGAGAGGAUGACCAGCCACACUGGAACU
rnacentral:rRNA from 1 species